ensembl:lncRNA LINC01193 long intergenic non-protein coding RNA 1193
AGUAUAUAAGGUAUGCUAAGGGGGCGUCGCGCUGUUGCAGGCUAUCGUGUGUUAACCUGUACUUCUGCCGCAGAGUUUGGAGAAAGCGGCAGCAGAUUGUGCUGCCGCAGGCUGGAGCCUGGAACCUGGAGCCCUGGAGCCUUGAAUGGUGUGUGGUGGCAAUGGAGAGAGGCAGCUGGCAGUGACAGCUGCUCCGUGCUUGGCUACAGGAAGGAAAGAAGGAGAAAGCACCUACCAUAGGCUGGAGGCUAGAGCCUGCAGGACUGCGGCUGGCCUCGCUGGCUCGCCUCCCUGGCUGGCCUCGCUGUGGUUGGUGGCAGCGACGGAUACUGCAGCUGGCCAGAGUGUAGAAAGGCAAUGGGGUAGGCUUUUUUGGCUGUGUGUGUCCAGCUGUUCCAUGCCAGGAGGAGGAGGAGUUACAUGCUGGAAGCUUGCAGAUAGCCUGGGGCUGCUGCUCGCCUUGCUGCGGUUGGUGGCAGCUACCGAGACUACCUCGCACCAGAGCGCAAGGUAAGCUGUCAUCAGUUGGAGGUAAGCAGAAGACAGUAGAGAGUACAGAGCCCUGGACUGUGACUCAGAGGAUGAGCACCAGAUCCAGUUUGCUGUGCCACAGUGAAAAAGCUGGUUCUGAGUGAAAUAGAAGGACUAGGGUGCCAAAUUAACUCCUCUCCACAAAGUGACCCCACAUGGAAAAGUACUUGAGAAGCUCUGUAAAGACAUGGUAAAAGCUUACCAAAGACAGUAGCAUUAUCCUUUCCCUUACACACAAAGUGGAGGGGAAGUGUGGCUCAGCAUGAUGUAAACUCCACUGCGGACAGAUGCAGCCAAGAAGACAGGUCACCUUCUACCAACUCCCACCAGAGGAAACUCUUCCCCAGGACCCAGUACGUUGGCCCUCUGACCCUGCACACAGCACAUGAUGCUGAGGUUCAGUGCUGAACAAGAGCUACUGAGAGCCAGAGAUUCACUUCUUCCAUGGAGCCCCACUCAUGGAUGGAGGCUCUGUCCCGGGUCCAGUGCCACUGGGAACACUGGGUCUCUGGUUUCUAGCUCUGUCCUAUGGCAGAGGUUCCACCCCACAAUAACCGAAGUGCUGAGAAGGUGGGAAGCUCCUGCCCGACCCUCCACUGAGAGCUCAGCUCCUAGGCUGAGGAAUAAAACAGCUCAACUUUGUCUACACCUGCAGAACCUUGUUUAGGAGCUCUGUCCCAGGAGAGAGGGGGCAAUGGAAUUCAGUCAUAAAAUAUGAUCCUUAAUUAGUCCUAAAAAUCCUAACUUCAGUAACAGCAGAUUGUGGACAAAUUGAAAGCCUGCCAGUGCUCUCAAAAACAGUGGAUGGUGUGGUGGAAAGCCCUUGGAAGGAGACGGGUGGAUGCAUGGGAGAUGCAGGCUACACUGCAGGGCUGCUGGCUUGCAGGAGAGAACCGAGGACAAGGGAGAGCUGGGGAAAGUUCUCUUGUGGUUGAAAUAAAUGCCAGACACUCUUCAAUG